rnacentral:rRNA from 1 species
AGUGAACGCUGGCGGUAGGCCUAACACAUGCAAGUCGAACGGCAGCACAGUAAGAGCUUGCUCUUACGGGUGGUGAGUGGCGGACGGGUGAGGAAUACAUCGGAAUCUACUUUUUCGUGGGGGAUAACGUAGGGAAACUUACGCUAAUACCGCAUACGACCUACGGGUGAAAGCAGGGGAUCUUCGGACCUUGCGCGAUUGAAUGAGCCGAUGUCGGAUUAGCUAGUUGGCGGGGUAAAGGCCCACCAAGGCGACGAUCCGUAGCUGGUCUGAGAGGAUGAUCAGCCACACUGGAACUGAGACACGGUCCAGACUCCUACGGGAGGCAGCAGUGGGGAAUAUUGGACAAUGGGCGCAAGCCUGAUCCAGCCAUACCGCGUGGGUGAAGAAGGCCUUCGGGUUGUAAAGCCCUUUUGUUGGGAAAGAAAAGCAGCAGGUUAAAACCCCGCUGUUCUGACGGUACCCAAAGAAUAAGCACCGGCUAACUUCGUG